rnacentral:rRNA from 1 species
UUCCGGUUGAUCCUGCCAGACCUGACUGCUAUCGGAUUGAUACUAAGCCAUGCGAGUCGUUGUAGCAAUACAAGGCAUACGGCUCAGUAACGCGUAGUCAACCUAACCUAUGGACGGGAAUAACCUCGGGAAACUGAGAAUAAUGCCCGAUAGAACAUUAUGCCUGGAAUGGUUUAUGUUCCAAAUGAUUUAUCGCCAUAGGAUGGGACUGCGGCCUAUCAGUUUGUUGGUGAGGUAAUGGCCCACCAAGACUAUUACAGGUACGGGCUCUGAGAGGAGUAGCCCGGAGAUGGGUACUGAGACACGGACCCAGGCCCUAUGGGGCGCAGCAGGCGAGAAAACUUUGCAAUGUGCGAAAGCACGACAAGGUUAAUCCGAGUGAUUUCUGCUAAAGAGAUCUUUUGUUAGUCCUAGAAACACUAACGAAUAAGGGGUGGGCAAGUUCUGGUGUCAGCCGCCGCGGUAAAACCAGCACCUCAAGUGGUCAGGAUGAUUAUUGGGCCUAAAGCAUCCGUAGCCGGCUCUGUAAGUUUUCGGUUAAAUCUGUACGCUCAACGUACAGGCUGCCGGAAAUACUGCAGAACUAGGGAGUGGGAGAGGUAGACGGUACUCGGUAGGAAGUGGUAAAAUGCUUUGAUCUAUCGAUGACCACCUGUGGCGAAGGCGGUCUACCAGAACACGUCCGACGGUGAGGGAUGAAAGCUGGGGGAGCAAACCGGAUUAGAUACCCGGGUAGUCCCAGCUGUAAACUAUGCAAACUCAGUGAUGCAUUGGCUUGUGGCCAAUGCAGUGCUGCAGGGAAGCCGUUAAGUUUGCCGCCUGGGAAGUACGUACGCAAGUAUGAAACUUAAAGGAAUUGGCGGGGGAGCACCACAAGGGGUGAAGCCUGCGGUUCAAUUGGAUUCAACGCCGGG